GCAUGUGAGGGAAAUCUGCCUGUGUUAUCUGUCACUCCAUUGAUCACCAGGGUCGACUCUGCUGAUCCACAUGGAUAGGUGCGUGUCCUCAUCCUCCCUCACUGCUCCCUGGGUGUCUCUUGGGAAAAGGAUGACCUUCCCUAAAUAGAGUCAAAUCAGUCUUUGCGCAAAGGUCCUCUCUAGAACCCCCAAAUAAUCCCUCACCACCCCAAGCAGUGACUUUGGUCAGAUUACUGAAUGUUGAUUUCUUUUAUUUAUUUAUUUUUUUAGUUUUUUAAAAAAUAUUUAUUUAU
rnacentral:snRNA from 1 species